AAAGUCGUAACAAGGUAACCGUAGGUGAACCUGCGGUUGGAUCAUUAAAAAAAUUGAAUGUUCGGGAAGAGUACAGAUCUGUGUAGCCAGCUGCUCGUUCAUCCGCAAGGAUGGUUAGCUAGUUUACGUUUGUCCGCAAGGAUGGUCGUGUUUAGUUAUGUUUACGGCGCUGAUCUCCAGAUUUGGAAUUUCCCCAAUAUUGACAUCUUGUGAACUGUUCUGUUUCUGGCGGGUGGAUGGGGCUUUUGCAAAAAUUCCCCAUCUGUCAGCUUGGCUUGUUCCGAGCCGUGGACACCCCGCCAAACAUUUGCUUUAACCUAUAUCUAUCUGUAUUUUAUGUCUGAAAUUUCUGUAUGAAUAAUACAAACAACUUUUGGCAACGGAUCUCUUGGCUCUC
rnacentral:misc_RNA from 1 species